rnacentral:rRNA from 1 species
UACGUAGGUGGCAAGCGUUGUCCGGAGUUAUUGGGCGUAAAGCGCGCGCAGGCGGUUCGGCAAGUCCAUGGUGAAAGCGCCCGGCUCAACUGGGCGAGUGCCGUGGGGACUGCCGAGCGUGGAGGGGAGCGAGAGGCGAGUGGAAUUCCGGGUGUAGUGGUGAAAUGCGUAGAGAUCCGGAGGAACACCAGUGGCGAAGGCGGCUCGCUGGGCUCUACCUGACGCUGAGGCGCGAAAGCGUGGGGAGCAAACAGG